rnacentral:rRNA from 1 species
CGCUGGAAUGCAUCGAGAUUUAAAGCUCCGGCGCCUAAGGAUGGGUCUGCGGCCUAUCAGGUAGUAGUGGGUGUAGCGUACCUACUAGCCUACGACGGGUACGGGUUGUGAGAGCAAGAGCCCGGAGAUGGAUUCUGAGACACGAAUCCAGGCCCUACGGGGUGCAGCAGGCGCGAAAACUUUACAAUGCUGGCAACAGCGAUAAGGGAACCUCGAGUGCCAGGUUACAAAUCUGGCUGUCGAGAUGCCUAAAAAGCAUUUCAUAGCAAGGGCCGGGCAAGACCGGUGCCAGCCGCCGCGGUAACACCGGCGGCUCGAGUGGUAACCGUUAUUAUUGGGUCUAAAGGGUCUGUAGCCGGCCGGAUAAGUCUCUUGAGAAAUCUGGCAGCUUAACUGUCAGGCUUUCAGGAGAUACUGUCUGGCUCGAGGCCGGGAGAGGUGAGAGGUACUUCAGGGGUAGGGGUGGAAUCUUGUAAUCCUUGAAGGACCACCAGUGGCGAA